CUACGUAGCUCAGAGUUUGAUCCUGGCUCAGGACGAACGCUGGCGGCGUGCCUAACACAUGCAAGUCGAACGGGGUAAUUCCUUCGGGGAUUACUUAGUGGCGAACGGGUGAGUAACGCGUGAGGAACCUGCCUUUCAGUGGGGGACAACAGUUGGAAACGACUGCUAAUACCGCAUAACAUUCACGGACCGCAUGAUCUGUGAAUCAAAGCUUUAUGUGCUGAAAGAUGGCCUCGCGUCUGAUUAGCUAGUUGGUGAGGUAACGGCCCACCAAGGCGACGAUCAGUAGCCGGUCUGAGAGGAUGAACGGCCACAUUGGGACUGAGAUACGGCCCAG
rnacentral:rRNA from 1 species